rnacentral:rRNA from 1 species
CCUACGGGAGGCAGCAGUGGGGAAUAUUGCACAAUGGGGGAAACCCUGAUGCAGCGACGCCGCGUGAGUGAAGAAGUAUCUCGGUAUGUAAAGCUCUAUCAGCAGGGAAGAAAAUGACGGUACCUGACUAAGAAGCCCCGGCUAACGACGGGCCAGCAGCCGCGGUAAUACGUAGGGGGCAAGCGUUAUCCGGAUUUACGGGGUGUAAAGGGAGCGUAGCCGGCGCGGCAAGGCCGGAGUGAAAGCCCAUGGCUUAACCAUGGUACUGCUCUGGAAAAGGUGGAGCUUGAGUGCGGGAGGGGCCGGCCGCCUUCCUCGUGUCGCGGUGCACUGCGUAGUUCUUCGGAGG